GCCGGGGUGCCCGAGCGGACCAAGGGGCUGGCCUUGAGAGCCAGUAGGGGAAACCCUGCACGGGUUCAAAUCACGUCCCCGGCG
rnacentral:tRNA from 1 species